AGUAUACCUUGGAGAUUUAGUAUACCUUGUGUUAGCCAAAAUGAAGUUUAACAAACGCGUUACUUCAUCUCGCCGCAAGCAGCGCAAGGCGUAUUUUAAAUCACCCCCUCACAUUCGCCGAAUUAGGAUGAGCUCUAUUCUUUCAAGAGAACUGCGUAACAAGUUUGGAAUUAGAUCUCUUCCUAUUCAUAAAGAUGAUGAGGUUUUGGUUCGCACUGGGUCGCAUAAGGGCCACGAAGGUAAGGUUACUCGAGUGUACCGCAAGAAAUAUGUUAUUUUUAUCGAUAGAAUUGUUCGAAAAAAGGCUAGUGGACAAGUUGUAAGUAUUGGCAUUCAUCCUUCCAACGUCAUGAUUACCAAGAUCAAAACAGAUAAGGACAGAGAAGCACUUAUCAAUCGCCUCGGAAAGGCUAAGCGAAGAGCACUCAAGAACAAAGGUACAAAGUUUACAGACACUGAGGUCGAAGCUCAAGCACCCGUCGUAGUCGAAAACAUAGAAUAAUUUUAUCAACAUUCUUCAAACCGAAAAUAGAUUUCGAGCUGGUACUCAAAGCUGAACCGAUGUUUACUAGGAAACUUAUCUGUCAUUCAGCUGAAAAUAAAUUUACAUUUUUCAUAAACGUAGUUUGUACCCUUAA